AACGAACGCUGGCGGCAUGCCUAACACAUGCAAGUCGAACGAGACCUUCGGGUCUAUUGGCGCACGGGUGCGUAACGCGUGGGAACCUUCCCUUAGGUUCGGAAUAACUCCCCGAAAGGGGUGCUAAUACCGGAUAAUGUCUUCGGACCAAAGAUUUAUCGCCUUUGGAUGGGCCCGCGUUUGAUUAGCUAGUUGGUAGGGUAAAAGCCUACCAAGGCUACGAUCCAUAGCUGGUCUGAGAGGAUGAUCAGCCACACUGGGAGUGAGACACGGCGCAGACUCUUAGGGGAGGAAGCAGGGGGGAAGAUUGAACAAUGGGCGAAAGCAUGAUCUAGCAAUGCCGCGUGAGUGAUGAAGGACUUAGGGUUGUAAAGCUCUUUUAAACGGGAUGAUAAUGACAGUACCGGAAGAAAAAGCGCGGGCUAACUCCGUG
rnacentral:rRNA from 1 species